rnacentral:rRNA from 1 species
UACAGAGGAGCCAAGCGUUGUCCGGAUUGACUGGGCGUAAAGCGCACGCAGGCGGUUGCGCGCGUGGGGUGUGAAAUCUGGCCGCUUAACGGCCAGGCGCCAUCCCAUACGGCGCGACUGGAGUGAUGCAGAGGUCGAUGGAAUUGCCGGUGUAGUGGUGAAGUGCGUAGAGAUCGGCAGGAACACCCAGGGGGAAACCAGUCGACUGGGCAUCUACUGACGCUGAGGUGCGAGAGCGUGGGGAGCGAACCGG